GAGAAGAACGUAGUAAAAUGCGAUAAGUAAUGUGAAUUGCAGAAUUCAGUGAAUCAUCGAAUCUUUGAACGCACAUUGCGCCCGCCAGUACUCUGGCGGGCAUGCCUGUCCGAGCGUCAUUGCUGCCCUCAAGCACGGCUUGUGUGUUGGGCCUCCGUCCUCCUCCCGGGGGACGGGCCCGAAAGGCAGCGGCGGCACCGCGUCCGGUCCUCGAGCGUAUGGGGCUUCGUCACCCGCUCUUGUAGGCCCGGCCGGCGCUUGCCGACACAUCAAUCUUUUUUCCAGGUUGACCUCGGAUCAGGUAGGGAUACCCGCUGAACUUAAGCAUAUCAAUAAGCGGAGGA
rnacentral:misc_RNA from 1 species